rnacentral:rRNA from 1 species
GACAGAGGGUGCAAACGUUGUUCGGAAUUACUGGGCGUAAAGCGCGUGUAGGCGGCUUUGCAAGUCGGGCGUGAAAUCCCACGGCUCAACCGUGGAAGUGCAUUCGAAACUGCAGGGCUAGAGUCCUGGAGAGGAAGGUGGAAUGCUUGGUGUAGAGGUGAAAUGCGCAGAUAUCAGGAGGAACACCAAUGGCGAAGGCAGCUCGCUGGGACGGUACUGACGCUGAGGCGCGAAAGCGUGGGGAGCAAACAGG